rnacentral:rRNA from 1 species
AUACGUAGGUGGCAAGCGUUAUCCGGAUUUACUGGGUGUAAAGGGCGCGUAGGCGGGGGUGCAAGUCAGAUGUGAAAUCUAUGGGCUUAACUCAUAAACUGCAUUUGAAACUGUAUCUCUUGAGUGCUGGAGAGGUAGACGGAAUUCCUUGUGUAGCGGUGAAAUGCGUAGAUAUAAGGAAGAACACCAGUGGCGAAGGCGGUCUACUGGACAGUAACUGACGCUGAGGCGCGAAAGCGUGGGGAGCAAACAGGAUUAGAUACCCUGGUAGUCCACGCCGUGAACGAUGAAUACUAGGUGUCGGGUUUCUAUAGAGAUUCGGUGCCGCAGCAAACGCAAUAAGUAUUCCACCUGGGGAGUACGAUCGCAAGAUUGAAACUUAAAUGAAUUGGCGG